GAUGAACGCUGGCGGCGUGCCUAAUACAUGCAAGUCGAGCGAACAGACGAGGAGCUUGCUCCUCUGACGUUAGCGGCGGACGGGUGAGUAACACGUGGAUAACCUACCUAUAAGACUGGGAUAACUUCGGGAAACCGGAGCUAAUACCGGAUAAUAUAUUGAACCGCAUGGUUCAAUAGUGAAAGACGGUUUUGCUGUCACUUAUAGAUGGAUCCGCGCCGCAUUAGCUAGUUGGUAAGGUAACGGCUUACCAAGGCAACGAUGCGUAGCCGACCUGAGAGGGUGAUCGGCCACACUGGAGCUGCGACCCGGAUCAGACUCCUACGGGAGGCAGCAGUGGAAUCUUCCGCAAUGGGCGAAAGCCUGACGGAGCAACGCCGCGUGAGUGAUGAAGGUCUUCGGAUCGGAAAACUCUGUUAUUAGGGAAGAACAAAUGUGUAAGUAACUAUGCACGUCUUGACGGUACCUAAUCAGAAAGCCACGGCUAACUACGUG
rnacentral:rRNA from 1 species